UCCUGACUGACCGAUAGUGAACCAGUACCGUGAGGGAAAGGCGAAAAGAACCCCGGCGAGGGGAGUGAAAAAGAACCUGAAACCGUGUACGUACAAGCAGUGGGAGCACGCUUAGGCGUGUGACUGCGUACCUUUUGUAUAAUGGGUCAGCGACUUAUAUUCUGUAGCAAGGUUAACCGAAUAGGGGAGCCGAAGGGAAACCGAGUCUUAACUGGGCGUUAAGUUGCAGGGUAUAGACCCGAAACCCGGUGAUCUAGCCAUGGGCAGGUUGAAGGUUGGGUAACACUAACUGGAGGACCGAACCGACUAAUGUUGAAAAAUUAGCGGAUGACUUGUGGCUGGGGGUGAAAGGCCAAUCAAACCGGGAGAUAGCUGGUUCUCCCCGAAAGCUAUUUAGGUAGCGCCUCGUGAAUUCAUCUCCGGGGGUAGAGCACUGUUUCGGCAAGGGGGUCAUCCCGACUUACCAACCCGAUGCAAACUGCGAAUACCGGAGAAUGUUAUCACGGGAGACACACGGCGGGUGCUAACGUCCGUCGUGAAGAGGGAAACAACCCAGACCGCCAGCUAAGGUCCCAAAGUCAUGGUUAAGUGGGAAACGAUGUGGGAAGGCCCAGACAGCCAGGAUGUUGGCUUAGAAGCAGCCAUCAUUUAAAGAAAGCGUAAUAGCUCACUGGUCGAGUCGGCCUGCGCGGAAGAUGUAACGGGGCUAAACCAUGCACCGAAGCUGCGGCAGCGAUGCUUAUGCGUUGUUGGGUAGGGGAGCGUUCUGUAAGCCUGCGAAGGUGUGCUGUGAGGCAUGCUGGAGGUAUCAGAAGUGCGAAUGCUGACAUAAGUAACGAUAAAGCGGGUGAAAAGCCCGCUCGCCGGAAGACCAAGGGUUCCUGUCCAACGUUAAUCGGGGCAGGGUGAGUCGACCCCUAAGGCGAGGCCGAAAGGCGUAGUCGAUGGGAAACAGGUUAAUAUUCCUGUACUUGGUGUUACUGCGAAGGGGGGACGGAGAAGGCUAUGUUGGCCGGGCGACGGUUGUCCCGGUUUAAGCGUGUAGGCUGGUUUUCCAGGCAAAUCCGGAAAAUCAAGGCUGAGGCGUGAUGACGAGGCACUACGGUGCUGAAGCAACAAAUGCCCUGCUUCCAGGAAAAGCCUCUAAGCAUCAGGUAACAUCAAAUCGUACCCCAAACCGACACAGGUGGUCAGGUAGAGAAUACCAAGGCGCUUGAGAGAACUCGGGUGAAGGAACUAGGCAAAAUGGUGCCGUAACUUCGGGAGAAGGCACGCUGAUAUGUAGGUGAAGUCCCUUGCGGAUGGAGCUGAAAUCAGUCGAAGAUACCAGCUGGCUGCAACUGUUUAUUAAAAACACAGCACUGUGCAAACACGAAAGUGGACGUAUACGGUGUGACGCCUGCCCGGUGCCGGAAGGUUAAUUGAUGGGGUCAGCGCAAGCGAAGCUCUUGAUCGAAGCCCCGGUAAACGGCGGCCGUAACUAUAACGGUCCUAAGGUAGCGAAAUUCCUUGUCGGGUAAGUUCCGACCUGCACGAAUGGCGUAAUGAUGGCCAGGCUGUCUCCACCCGAGACUCAGUGAAAUUGAACUCGCUGUGAAGAUGCAGUGUACCCGCGGCAAGACGGAAAGACCCCGUGAACCUUUACUAUAGCUUGACACUGAACAUUGAGCCUUGAUGUGUAGGAUAGGUGGGAGGCUUUGAAGUGUGGACGCCAGUCUGCAUGGAGCCGGCCUUGAAAUACCACCCUUUAAUGUUUGAUGUUCUAACGUGGACCCGUGAUCCGGGUUGCGGACAGUGUCUGGUGGGUAGUUUGACUGGGGCGGUCUCCUCCUAAAGAGUAACGGAGGAGCACGAAGGUUGGCUAAUCCUGGUCGGACAUCAGGAGGUUAGUGCAAUGGCAUAAGCCAGCUUGACUGCGAGCGUGACGGCGCGAGCAGGUGCGAAAGCAGGUCAUAGUGAUCCGGUGGUUCUGAAUGGAAGGGCCAUCGCUCAACGGAUAAAAGGUACUCCGGGGAUAACAGGCUGAUACCGCCCAAGAGUUCAUAUCGACGGCGGUGUUUGGCACCUCGAUGUCGGCUCAUCACAUCCUGGGGCUGAAGUAGGUCCCAAGGGUAUGGCUGUUCGCCAUUUAAAGUGGUACGCGAGCUGGGUUUAGAACGUCGUGAGACAGUUCGGUCCCUAUCUGCCGUGGGCGCUGGAGAACUGAGGGGGGCUGCUCCUAGUACGAGAGGA
rnacentral:rRNA from 1 species